rnacentral:tRNA from 1 species
GCCUCAACAGCUCAGUGGCAGAGCGUCUAUCUCGUAAACAGAUGCUCUGCGGUUCAACCCCACAUGGAGGCA